rnacentral:rRNA from 1 species
UGGGGAAUAUUGGACAAUGGGCGAAAGCCUGAUCCAGCCAUGCCGCGUGAGUGAUGAAGGCCCUAGGGUUGUAAAGCUCUUUUGUGCGGGAAGAUAAUGACGGUACCGCAAGAAUAAGCCCCGGCUAACUUCGUGCCAGCAGCCGCGGUAAUACGAAGGGGGCUAGCGUUGCUCGGAAUCACUGGGCGUAAAAGGUGCGUAGGCGGGUUUCUAAGUCAGAGGUGAAAGCCGGGAGCUCAACUCCAGAACUGCCUUUGAUACUGGAAGUCUUGAGUUCGGGAGGGGUGAGUGGAACUGCGGGUGUAGAGGUGAAAUUCGUAGAUAUUCGCAAGAAGACCAGUGUCGAAGGCGGCUCACUGGCCCGAUACUGACGCUGAGGCACGAAAGCGUGGGGAGCAAAC